GAUGAAGAACGUAGCGAAAUGCGAUACUUGGUGUGAAUUGCAGAAUCCCGUGAACCAUCGAGUCUUUGAACGCAAGUUGCGCCCGAAGCCAUUAGGCCGAGGGCACGCCUGCCUGGGCGUCACACGUCGUUUCCCCCCCCAUCUACUCCUUCGGGAUUGCGGGGGGCGGAUGAUGGCCUCCCGUGCGCCUCGCCGCGCGGUUGGCAUAAAUGCCAAGUCCUCGGCGACGCACGCCACGACAAUCGGUGGUUGCGAAACCUCGGUUGCCCGUCGUGUGCGGUCGUCGCGCAUCGAGGGCUCGAAAAAAUGCUCGGCUCCGGCUCGGCUUUCAACGCGACCCCAGGUCAGGCGGGGUUACCCGCUGAAUUUAAGCAUAUCAAUAAGCGGAGGA
rnacentral:misc_RNA from 1 species